rnacentral:rRNA from 1 species
GGGGAAUAUUGGACAAUGGGGGAAACCCUGAUCCAGCAAUGCCGCGUGAGUGAAGAAGGCCUUAGGGUUGUAAAGCUCUUCCGCCCGCGAAGAUAAUGACGGUAGCGGGAGAAGAAGCCCCGGCUAACUCCGUGCCAGCAGCCGCGGUAAUACGGAGGGGGCUAGCGUUGUUCGGAAUUACUGGGCGUAAAGCGUACGUAGGCGGAUGCGCAAGUUGGGGGUGAAAUCCCGGGGCUUAACCUCGGAAUUGCCCUCAAAACUGCACGUCUUGAGACCGAGAGAGGUAAGGGGAAUUCCUAGUGUAGAGGUGAAAUUCGUAGAUAUUAGGAAGAACACCAGUGGCGAAGGCGCCUUACUGGCUCGGUACUGACGCUGAGGUACGAAAGCGUGGGGAACAAACA